AACGAACGCUGCGGCAUGCCUAACACAUGCCAGUCGAACGAGACCUUCGGGUCUAGUGGCGCACGGGUGCGUAACGCGUGGGAACCUGCCCUUAGGUUCGGAAUAACUCCCCGAAAGGGGUGCUAAUACCGGAUAAUGUCUUCGGACCAAAGAUUUAUCGCCUUUGGAUGGGCCCGCGUUGGAUUAGCUAGUUGGUAGGGUAAAAGCCUACCAAGGCGACGAUCCAUAGCUGGUCUGAGAGGAUGAUCAGCCACACUGGGACUGAGACACGGCCCAGACUCCUACGGGAGGCAGCAGUGGGGAAUAUUGGACAAUGGGCGAAAGCCUGAUCCAGCAAUGCCGCGUGAGUGAUGAAGGCCUUAGGGUUGUAAAGCUCUUUUACCCGGGAUGAUAAUGACAGUACCGGGAGAAUAAGCUCCGGCUAACUCCGUG
rnacentral:rRNA from 1 species